CGGGGUGUGGCGUACCGGCAUCGCGCUUGCAUGGGGUGCAAGAGACAGCGGGUUCGAUUCCCGCCACCCCGA
rnacentral:tRNA from 1 species